rnacentral:tRNA from 1 species
GGAGAGAUGCCCGAGUGGCUAAAGGGGACGGACUGUAAAUCCGUUGGCUUCGCCUACGCUGGUUCGAAUCCAGCUCUCUCCACCA